AGAUGGCGACCGGCGCACGGGUGAGUAACACGUAUCCAACCUGCCGAUAACUCGGGGAUAGCCUUUCGAAAGAAAGAUUAAUACCCGAUGGUAUAAUCAGACCGCAUGGUUUGAUUAUUAAAGAAUUUCGGUUAUCGAUGGGGAUGCGUUCCAUUAGGCAGUUGGUGAGGUAACGGCUCACCAAACCUUCGAUGGAUAGGGGUUCUGAGAGGAAGGUCCCCCAUAUUGGAACUGAGACACGGUCCAA
rnacentral:rRNA from 1 species